GCUUAACACAUGCAAGUCGAGGGGCAGCAUGGUCUUAGCUUGCUAAGGCCGAUGGCGACCGGCGCACGGGUGAGUAACACGUAUCCAACCUGCCGUCUACUCUUGGACAGCCUUCUGAAAGGAAGAUUAAUACAAGAUGGCAUCAUGAGUCCACAUGUUCACAUGAUUAAAGGUAUUCCGGUAGACGAUGGGGAUGCGUUCCAUUAGAUAGUAGGCGGGGUAACGGCCCACCUAGUCUUCGAUGGAUAGGGGUUCUGAGAGGAAGGUCCCCCACAUUGGAACUGAGACACGGUCCAAACUCCUACGGGAGGCAGCAGUGAGGAAUAUUGGUCAAUGGGCGAGAGCCUGAACCAGCCAAGUAGCGUGAAGGAUGACUGCCCUAUGGGUUGUAAACUUCUUUUAUAAAGGAAUAAAGUCGGGUAUGCAUACCCGUUUGCAUGUACUUUAUGAAUAAGGAUCGGCUAACUCCGUGCCAGCAGCCGCGGUAAUACGGAGGAUCCGAGCGUUAUCCGGAUUUAUUGGGUUUAAAGGGAGCGUAGAUGGAUGUUUUAAGUCAGUUUGUGAAAGUUUGCGGCUCAACCGUAAAAUUGCAGUUGAUACUGGAUAUCUUGAGUGCAGUUGAGGCAGGCGGAAUUCGUGGUGUAGCGGUGAAAUGCUUAGAUAUCACGAAGAACUCCGAUUGCGAAGGCAGCCUGCUAAGCUGCAACUGACAUUGAGGCUCGAAAGUGUGGGUAUCAAACAGGAUUAGAUACCCUGGUAGUCCACACGGUAAACGAUGAAUACUCGCUGUUUGCGAUAUACGGCAAGCGGCCAAGCGAAAGCGUUAAGUAUUCCACCUGGGGAGUACGCCGGCAACGGUGAAACUCAAAGGAAUUGACGGGGGCCCGCACAAGCGGAGGAACAUGUGGUUUAAUUCGAUGAUACGCGAGGAACCUUACCCGGGCUUAAAUUGCAGAUGAAUUACGGUGAAAGCCGUAAGCCGCAAGGCAUCUGUGAAGGUGCUGCAUGGUUGUCGUCAGCUCGUGCCGUGAGGUGUCGGCUUAAGUGCCAUAACGAGCGCAACCCUUGUUGUCAGUUACUAACAGGUUCCGCUGAGGACUCUGACAAGACUGCCAUCGUAAGAUGUGAGGAAGGUGGGGAUGACGUCAAAUCAGCACGGCCCUUACGUCCGGGGCUACACACGUGUUACAAUGGGGGGUACAGAGGGCCGCUACCACGCGAGUGGAUGCCAAUCCCCAAAACCUCUCUCAGUUCGGACUGGAGUCUGCAACCCGACUCCACGAAGCUGGAUUCGCUAGUAAUCGCGCAUCAGCCACGGCGCGGUGAAUACGUUCCCGGGCCUUGUACACACCGCCCGUCAAGCCAUGGGAGCCGGGGGUACCUGAAGUGCGUAACCGCGAGGAGCGCCCUAGGGUAAAACUGGUGACUGGGGCUAAG
rnacentral:rRNA from 1 species